UCUAAAUCAGCCGGCUUGCAACGUGGUCCGGCACCGAGCCCAGUGGCCAAGGCUGGUUCCGCCCGCUGGGCUAGUCCCGGCCGAAAUUGCACUCGGCACUGUAGGAGGGGCUGCUUUGUGGCCCCCAGAGACGCCGUCAAGCUUAGGGGCUUUGUGGAGAUUUACCCUGGGCUUCAGCCUGGCGGACUUUGGGAGCUCGGAAGCCUCCUAAGACCUUCCUCUGGUUUCCUUUCUUGCUGAUGUCCUCUGGUGCUGGAAGUGCAGGAGAAGGGCGCUGCCUGUGGAGCUCCUCAGUUUGAUCAAGCAGGGCCAUGCGGCAUCAAGCCAGGGACCUUGAUGUAGAAUUUAGAUCUGACAUGCUGUACAGUAUCCAGACCUUGUUUCUAACUUUAACCAAAUAUUAUAUUCAAAUGAAAUACAAAAUCAAUAUUAAGACAAAGGAAUUUGUGUAAUUAUUAUACAUUAUCAAUGGUAACUUCAACUAGGGAAUUAUGAUAAUGUCACUGUUUAUCAGACCAUAUCCUAUGUGACUUUUUCAUGAACAGCUCCCAUUAAAGUUAAGUGACACAC